GAUGAACGCUGGCGGCGUGCUUAACACAUGCAAGUCGAGCGAAGCACUUAAGAAUGAUUCUUCGGAUGAAUUCUUUUGUGACUGAGCGGCGGACGGGUGAGUAACGCGUGGGUAACCUGCCUCAUACAGGGGGAUAACAGUUAGAAAUGGCUGCUAAUACCGCAUAAGACCACAGUACUGCAUGGUACAGUGGUAAAAACUCCGGUGGUAUGAGAUGGACCCGCGUCUGAUUAGGUAGUUGGUGAGGUAACGGCCCACCAAGCCGACGAUCAGUAGCCGACCUGAGAGGGUGACCGGCCACAUUGGGACUGAGACACGGCCCAGACUCCUACGGGAGGCAGCAGUGGGGAAUAUUGCACAAUGGGCGAAAGCCUGAUGCAGCGACGCCGCGUGAAGGAUGAAGUAUUUCGGUAUGUAAACUUCUAUCAGCAGGGAAGAAAAUGACGGUACCUGACUAAGAAGCCCCGGCUAACUACGUGCCAGCAGCCGCGGUAAUACGUAGGGGGCAAGCGUUAUCCGGAUUUACUGGGUGUAAAGGGAGCGUAGACGGCUGUGCAAGUCUGAAGUGAAAGGCAUGGGCUCAACCUGUGGACUGCUUUGGAAACUGUGCAGCUAGAGUGUCGGAGAGGUAAGUGGAAUUCCUAGUGUAGCGGUGAAAUGCGUAGAUAUUAGGAGGAACACCAGUGGCGAAGGCGGCUUACUGGACGAUGACUGACGUUGAGGCUCGAAAGCGUGGGGA
rnacentral:rRNA from 1 species